UACGAAGGGGGCUAGCGUUGCUCGGAAUCACUGGGCGUAAAGCGCACGUAGGCGGAUUGUUAAGUCAGGGGUGAAAUCCUGGAGCUCAACUCCAGAACUGCCUUUGAUACUGACGGUCUUGAGUCCGGGAGAGGUGAGUGGAACUCCGAGUGUAGAGGUGAAAUUCGUAGAUAUUCGGAAGAACACCAGUGGCGAAGGCGGCUCACUGGCCCGGUACUGACACUGAGACGCGAAAGCGUGGGGAGCAAACAGG
rnacentral:rRNA from 1 species